rnacentral:lncRNA from 1 species
GGUGGUGAUGGUUGCACAACAGUGAAUGUGCUUCAUGCCACUGAACUACACCCCUGAACAUGGGUAAGAUGGUACAUUUUCAGUUACAUGUGUUUUAUGACAGUCUAAAAAAAUUGAGGGGAAAAAAUGGACCUGGAAACAAUGGGGACCUCCUGGCUCAGUGCAGGGGAGAAUCUGGCCUUGGCCUUGGUUGUCUGUUUCUGAACUGGAACUGCUCUCUUGUGGGUAUCUAGUCAUCUGCAGUCCUGAGUUCCUGGGCAGGUCCUUGCACUGGGCCCCUCCCUGUGGGGAUUCCUCAGGGCUGGGCAGGGAAAGGAAGGGCCCAGGCUUCCUGGCUUUAGCUGCCUUCCCUACCCCAGCCCCAACCCACAUCCACCUGAAACUGCUGCUGGCCUCUCCACCACACCGGGGGCCCACGCCCUGCAGCACCCCACCCCACCUUGUCCCCUUUCAGGUGCUCUCUGGGAGAGACUCUGAGUGUAUCGAGUCCUAACAAUUGACUCUUGUCCUCAAAGAGAAUCUGGCUUCACUAGGUGCUGAGGAGGUGGAAGAAAGAUUAUACCAGCCUGGGCUGACUGCGCCCCACUCUGCACAAAGCACUUUAAAAGCAUUUGGGGGCUGGACGCAGUGGCUCAUGCCUGUAAUCCCAGCACUUUGGGAAGCUGAGGUGGGCAGAUCGCUUGAGGUCAGGAGUUUAAGACCAGCCUAACCAACAUGGUGAAACCCUGUCUCUACUAAAAUACAAAUAUUAGCCGGGCAUGGUGGUGGGCGCCUAUAAUCCUAGCUACUCAGGAGACUGAGGGAGGAGAAUCGUUUGAACCCAGGAGGUACAGGUUGCAGUGAGCUGAGAUCAUGCCACUGCUCCAGCCUGAGUGACAGAUUGAGACUCCGUCUCAAAAUAAAAAUAAAAAUAAAAGCAUUUAGUUCCUAAGACUUGCUGGGUGCAGUAGCUCAUGCCCGUAGUCCCAGCUACUUAGGAGGCUGAGGUGGGAGGAUCACUCAAGUUCAGGCGUUUGAGGCCAAAUGGGCAACAUAGCAAGACCCCAUCUCUCAAAUUUUUAUUUUAAAUUAGUCCAGUGUGAGGCCCAGCGCAGUGGCUCACACCUGUAAUCCCCGCACUGUGGGAAGCUGAGGUGGGCAGAUCAUGAGGUCAGGAGCUCGAGACCAGCCUGACCAACAUGGUAAAACCCUGUCUCUACUAAAAAUAUAAAAAUUAUCCGGGCAUGGUGGUGCACGCCUGUAAUCCCAGCUACUCCAGAGGCAGAGGCAGGAGAGUUGAUUGAACUCGGGAGGUGGUGGUUGCAUUGAGCCGAGAUCGUGCCACUGCACUCCGGCCUGGGCGAUAGAGCAAGACUCCAUCUCAAAAAAAACAGACCGGGCACAGUGGCUCAUGCCUGUAAUCCCAGCACUUUGGGAGGCCAAGGCGGGUGGAUCAUGAGGUCAGGAGAUGGAAACCAUCCUGGCCAACAUAGUGAAACCCCGUCUUGACUAAAAUAUGAAAAAUUAGCCGGCCGUGGUGGUGGCGCGCCUGUAGUGCCAGCUGCUUGGGAGGCUGAGUCAGGGGAAUUAUUCGAACCUGGGAGGCGGAGAUUGCAGUGAGCCCAGAUCGUGCCACUGCACCCCAGCCUGGCAAUAGUGUGAGACUGCCUCAAAAAAAAAAUUUUUUUUUACCCUAGUGUGGUGCUACAUGCCUACAGUCCAGCUACUCUGGAGGCCAAAGCAGGAGGAUUGCUUGAGGCCAGGAGUUUGAGACCAGCCUGGACAACAUAGCAAGACCCCGUCCCAUUUAAUUAAAAUAAUUCCAUGGCCUCCUCCCAGCAGCCCUGCGUGGUAUCAUGCCCACCAUGUAUGUGAAGAAACUGAGGCUGCAAGCAGUGAAGAGCUUGUCCAAGGUCCCACAGAGAGGCUACCAGAGUCCAGGCCCACACCUUGGUACUGGCUUCCCCUCUUCAUCCUCGGCAAGAGCCGUGUGGGAGGGAGCCUGCCCCUGUAGGGGGCAGGCAGGUGGCUCUGACCACCCGGCUGGCUCCUGUUGGGGUGGGGCUCCUUUCCCCACACCCUUGGGAACUCAACCCUGGAUUUGGUGCCUGCACCCUCUUUCCUGAUCUCCCCCGAAGCCCCAUCAGAGAGGGGCAGUGACUUUUCCAGAAUCACACAGCAGAGGACAAGGAAACGGGUGCAGCUGGGGGUGACCCCUCCAGACAGGUUACCCUUACCAGGGGUAGGCCCAGGCACCAGCCGGGCCAGGCCUGUGAGAGACUCCAGUCCAGGCCCUUCUCAGCUCUGCAGCCAGCCCCAGGCUCUGCCAUUGGAACCCCAGGGCCCUCCUCCACUCCCCAGACACACUCAAACUGGAGAGAGGAACCUGAAGCAGAAGUCCCACCUUGAUCAUUUUUUUUUACCCCCGCUGGACCUAGCCAAGGGCUGAACAGAGUCCGGAUGUUCCCAGACCAAGCACGGAGUUGGGGCGGGUGGUCAGAAUCAGACCUGAUUGGGACGGUGUUUCCUGCCUUGGGCAGGUGGUUUUGCCUCUGUGAGCCUCAGUUUCCCUCACCUGUGUGACUGAGCUGGGAACACUUCCUGCCUCAGAAGGAGGAGUCUGGGUGGUACAGACAAGCCCCAGGUCGGCGGGGCUGGGGCGGCUCCUCGCAGAGGAAGCAGGUGUUUCUGUGAGCGAACACACCCCACUCCCUGAACACGAGGGAGGUGUUGCAGUAUCAUUGUCACCACAUCCUGCCCGCUCAAACAGCCGCGCCCGCCCUGGCUGUCUCAUUCCAGACUUGGGGGCAGGCAGGCUGCUGCAUGCACCGGGCUCCUCUCCUCCCUCUUCUGUUCCCCAGUCUUUAGGUCCUGGCCCUGGAUGGGGACUCCAGGUGUCCACAUGUCUCAGUGGAGGCAGCUGUGUGAUUCAGAAGCUCUCCCAGUGCCACUUUCUUUCCCAGCAGUGUAGGUGGUGCGUGGACCCACCUGGUCAUUAGAGGGCCCGGGCCUUCCUGUGGGGCGGGUGCUUGCCCUGGCCCGUGAGUCCUGGCAUCACUAGGAGGACUGACUUCUGGCCUGGAGCUGCCAGCCCAGGGCGGGCGGUGGUGUCUGCUGGCCCCUUUGUGACCUGAGCGCUGGUAAUGCUGAGGGGCGGGGAAGCUGCACUCCCAGUCCUGUUUCUCUUGGCACCGCCUGGGUGAGACCUUGGGCAGGCGGAGGGCAAGUCCCACAUGGUGGCGAGGACCUGAGCCCGGUGGUAGAGGGACAGGCCUGCUGGGUUUGUUCUUACUCUACUCUGCCCCUUAAUAGCAGGGGGAUGUUGGCAGGUGAUGUCACCUUCCUGAGCCUUAGCACCCCCAUCUCUGGGAUGGGGCUAUAGAGGCCUGGCCUCUUGGGCAUCAAGGAUGACCCUAGGAGGGCCUGCAGGGGAGGCCUGCCUGGUGCCUGGCACACUUCCAGGCCCUCAGCACUGGCUGUGGCCAUCAUCACCCUUGCUGAGUGCCCCAUUCCACCUGCCUCACAUGGGGUCCUGCUCUGCCUUCCUCCUGUCCUCCCCAUCCAGCAUAGCCUAGAAAGAUUGGGGCUGGGGAGUGUUUGGCAUUUGCAGAGAGGUGCUGUUCUUUUUUUUUUUUUUUUUUGAGUCGGCAAGUGAGACUGUCUCAAAAAGGGAAAAAAAAAAAGUUUGUUACUAUUCUGGUUAUUAACAUUAUCAGUAAUCAAAGAAAGGUGGCCCAUCAUCUGGGCACCCCUGUUCCUCUCCUAAGAGAGACAGACACAUUUGACACAGGCAUUUAAAACUUGGUUUAGAUAAAAAUCUAGGUUCUGGGUUACAGUGUAAAGUAAAAAUUGAAUGUA